rnacentral:lncRNA from 1 species
UGUUUUCCAAUUAAAGCUUCUUCUUUCUCUGUUAAUUGUGUUUCAGAUUCAUCAAUUCUUUCAAUGACAGCUUCUUCCCUGUUUUGUUCUUUGAGUUCUUCUCCAAGUGGGUGUUCUUUAGGUUUCUCGUCAAUCAUUGGUUCUUCAAGUUUCUCUUUAACAACUAGUUCUUCAGAUUUCUCUUCAACUGGUAGAUUCUCGGGUUCUUCUUCAACUGCUGGUUCUUCAAAUUUUUCAGCUGCCGAUUCGUCAGGCUUUUCUUCAACUGAUGGUUCUUCAUGUUUUUCAUCGAAUGUUGGUUCUUCAACUGUAGAUUCUUCAGAUUUCUCCUCAACUGUUGGUUCCUCAGGUUUUUGGUCAACUACUGGUUCUUGAGGUUUAUCUUCAAUUGCUGGUUCUUCAGGUUUCUUUUCUAGUUCUUCACGUGUCUCUUUAACCACUGGAUCUUCAGGUGUUUCUUUCACCUCUUGUUUUUUGUGUUUCUCCUCAAUUGCUGGUUCUUGGGGUUUCUCUUCAAAUGUUUCUGCAAUUGCCAAUUUCUGAGGUUUCUCCUUUAUUGCUGGUUCUUCAGGUUUAUCCUCAACAAUUGGUUCUUCAAGCUUUUCCUCAACCAUUGGUUCUUCAAUUUUUUCCUCAACCAUUGGUUCUUCAGGUUUUUCCUCAACUCCUGGUUCUUCAGGUUUUUUCUCAACUGCUGGAUAGUCAACAACAUCAUUGUUGGUAUUGCAUGGAGUCUGAGUGUCAGACUUCCCGUUUGAAUCUAUAACUGACAUAUUCUGUAAGAAAAAUUUGAAGUUUCACUUAGUCUUCCAAUAGAUAAACAGAUGUGAAUUGUUGCACAUUCAGAGCUAAUAGUACAGGUAAAACUUGUGAGUACUUGAUCCUCACCUCUUCCAACAAAGUUACCUUUUCAGGCUUCGCUUCAACUUCAACUGCUAGUUUUUCAAGGUUCUUUUCAAUUGCUAGAUCUUUAGUUGUUUCUUCAACUGCUGGUUCUUCAGGUUUCUCUUCAAAUGUUAGUUCUUCAAGUGUUUCUUUCCAUGCUGGUCCUGCAAGUGUUUUUUCAACUACAAGCUCUUCAGAUUUCUCUUCAACUGUUGGUUCUUCAAGUUUCUCCUUGAAAACUGGUUCUUCAGUUUGUUUUUCCACUUCUGGUUCUUCAAGUUUCUCUUCAAUCACUUGUUUUUCAUGUUUUUCUUCAACUUCCAGUUCUUCAGCUGUUGGACAGUCAGCAACACCAUUGUUGGAAUUGCCUGGAAUUUCACUGUCAAUCUUGUCCUUUGAGUCUAUAAUUGACAUAUUCUGCAAGAAAAGUUUAAAAUUAGAUUUAAUAUUCAAUAGAUUGACAUAUGUGAGUGUGUUACACAUAUAAAGCUAUUAGAAUGGAUAAACUGUGACACUGUUUAAUCCUCACCUUCUCUAGGAGAGCUUCCGUUUCUAGUUUCUGCUCUUCAAUUACUGGGUUGUCGUGUUUCUCUUUAACAACUAGCUCUUCAAAGGUCUUUUCAACCAUUGGUUCUUCAGGUUUCUCUUCAAGUGCUAGCUCUCCAAGUGUUUCCUCCCCUGCUAGCUCUUCAUGUGUUUCUUUAGCUGUUGGUUCUUCAAGUUUUUCUUCAACAGUUGGUUCUUGAGGUUUCUCCUCAGCUGGUUUUUCAUAUUUCUCCUUAAUUGCUAGUGUAUCAAGUUUCUCUUCAAUAACUGGUCCUUCAGGUUUUUCUACAACUGCUGGUUCUUCAGGGUCUUUCUCAACUUCUUGAAAGUGAGCAUCAUCAUCGUUAGUAUUGCAUGGAAUUUCACAGUCAGUUUUGUCCUUUGAGUCCGCAACUAGCAAAUUCUGCAAGAAGAAUUAAAAGUUUCACUUAGUCUUUUAGUAGAUAAAGCAGAUGUGAAUCAUUGCACAUACAUAAAUAAUAGGAUGGAUAAACUUAUGACAGUGCUUGACCCUCGCCUUAUCCAAAAGAGUUACCUUUUCAAGUUUCUCCUCUUCAACUGUUGGGUUUUCAGGUUUCUCCUCUUCAACUACUGGUUUGUCAGUUUUUUCUUCAAAUGCUAGUUCAUUAGGUGUUUCUUCCCGUUUUGAUUCCUUGAGUGUUUCUUCAGUUUUUGGUUUUUCAGGUUUCUCUUCAACCAUUGGUUCUUCAAGUUUCUCCUCCACAGUUGUUUUUUCAUGUUUCUCUUCAACUGCCAGAUCUUCAAGUUCUCUCUCAACUGUUGGUUCUUCAGGCUUCUCCAUAACCGCCAAUACUUCAGGCUUCUCUUCAAUUGUUGUUUCUUCAUGUUCUUUUUCAACUACUGGUUCUUGAGAUUUUUCCUUGACUGAUUCAUAGUCAGCAAUAUCAUUGGUGGUAUUGCAUGACAUUACAUAAUCUAUCUUGUCCUUUGAGUCUACAAUUGGAAAAUGCUGCAAGAAAAUUUAAAAGUUUUACUUAGUCUUUCAACAGAUAAACAUAUGUAAAUCCGUUGCACAUAUAAAGCUAAUAUGAUGGAUAAAUUUUGUGACAAUGUUUAAUUCUGACCUUCUCUAGAAGAGCUCCGGUUUCAGGUUUCUCCACUUCAACAACUAGUUCUUUAGGUGUCUUUUCAACCGUUGCUUCUUCAGGUUUCUCUUCAAGUGCUAGUUCUUCAGCUGUUUCCUCCCCCUCUAACUCUUCAGGUGUUUUUUUAGCUGUUCGUUCUUCAGAUUUCUCUUCAGCCGCAGGUUCUUGAGGUUUCUCUUCAAAUGGUAAUUCAAAUUUCUCCUCAACCGAUGGUUCUUCAAAUUUCUCUUGAAUAACUGGUUCUUCAGGUUUUUCUUCAACUGCUGAUUCUUCAAGAUUUUCUUCAACAUUUAAAGAUUGAGCAACAUCAUUACUGGUAUUGCAUGGAAUUUCACUGCCAUUUUUGCUGUUCAAGUCUACAACUAGCAUAUUCUGCAAAAGAGUUUAAUGUUUCACUUAGUCUUUCAAUAAAGAAGCAGACGUGAAUCAUUUCACAUACAUAACUAAUAAUAUGGAUAGCUAAUAAUAUGGAUUAACUUUUAUGACAGAUUUUCCACAAGAGCUACCUUUUCAGGUUUCUCCUCUUCAAGUGAUGGUUUCUCUUCAAAUGAUAGUUCAUUAGGCGUUUCUUCCUGUGUUGGUUUUUCAUGUGCUUCUUCAGUUACUGGUUUUUCAGGUUUCUCCUUAGUUGUUGGUUCUUCGCUUGUCUCCUCAGCUGAUUGUUCUUCAAGCUUCUCUCCUGUUGUUGAUUUUUCUGGUUUCUCUUCAAUUAUCGGUGGUUCAGGUUUUUUCUCAACCGGUGAUUCUUCUGGUUUCUCCAAAACCAUUGAUUCUUCAUGUUUUUUUUCAACUACUGACUCUUCAGUGUUUUCCUCAACUGAUGCAUAGUCAGCAAUAUCGUUGUUGGUAUUGCUUGGAAUUGCAUUGUCUAUCUUGUCCUUUGAGUUUACUUUUGGCAUAUUCUGCAAUGAAGUUUCACGUAGUCUUUCAAUAGAUAAACAAAUGUAAAUUUGUUGCACAUAUAAAAGCUAAUAUGAUGGAUAAAAUUUGUGCCAGUGUUUAAUCCUCACCUUCUCCUGAAGAGCUUCCGCUUCAAGUUCCUCCUCUUCAAUUGCAGGUUUUUCAUCUUUCUCUCCAACAACUAGUUCUUCAGGUUUCUCUUCAAGUGCCAGUUCUUCAGGUGUUUCCUCCUUUGCCAGCUCUUCAGGUGUUUCCUCCUUUGCCAGCUCUUCAGGUGUUUCUUUAGCUGCCGGUUCUUCAGGUUUCUCUUCAACCUCCGGUUCUUGUGGUAUUUCCUCUACUUGUACUUCAGAUUUCUCCUCAAUUGUUGGUUCUUCAGGUUUCUCUCUAACCGCUGCUGCAUUAGGUUUCUCUUCAUUGGCUGGUUCUUCAGGUUUUUCUUCAACUACCGAUUCUUCAGGAUUUUCCUCAAUGUUUGGAAAGGGAGCGACAUCAUUAUUGGUAUUGCAUGGAAUUUCACUGCCAGUUUUGUCAUUCAAGUCCACAACUAGUAUAUUCUGCAAAAGAGUUUAAUGUUUCACUUAGUCUUUCAAUAAAGAAGCAGAUGCGAAUCAUUACAUAUACAUAACUAAUAACAUGGAUAAACUUUAUGACAGUAGUUGACCCUUACCUUUUCCACAAGAGUUACUUUUGCAGGUUUCUCCUCUUCAAGUGCUGGUUUCUCUUCAAAUGAUAGUUCAUUAGGUGUUUCUUCCCGUGUUGGUUCUUCAUGUGCUUCUUCAGUUACUGGUUUUUCAGGUUUCUCCUCAAUUGUUGGUUCUUCGCUUGUCUUCUCAACUGAUGGUUCCUCAUGCUUCUCUCCCGUUGUUGAUUUUUCGGGUUUCUCUUCAGUUGUCGAUGGUUCAGUUUUUUUCUCAACCGCUGGUUCUUUUGGCUUCUCCAAAACCAUUUCCGAUUUCUCUUCAGUUGGUGGUUCUUCAUGGUUUUUUUCAACUACUGGUUCUUCUCUUUUUUCCUCAACUGAUGCAUAGUCAGCAAUAUCGUUGUUGGUAUUGCUUGGAAUUGCAUUGUCUGUCUUGUCCUUUGAGCUUACAAUUGGCAUAUUCUGCUAGAAAAAUAUAAAGUUUCAUGUAGUCUUUCAACAGAGAAACCAAUGUAAAUUUGUUGCACAUAUAAAGCUAACAAAUAUGAUGGAUAGACUUUGCGAGAGUGUUUAAUACUCACCUUCUCCGGAAGAGCUUCCGUUUCAGGUUCCUCUUCAAUUUCUGCUUUUUCAUCUUUCUCUUCAACAACUAGUUCUUCAGGUGUCUCUUCAACCGUUGAUUCUUCAGGUUUCUCUUCAAGUGUUAGUUCUUGAGGUGUUUCCUCCUUUGCUAGCUCUUCAGGUGUUUCUGUAACUGCCGGUUCUUCAGGUUCCUCUUCAGCCACCGGCUGUUGACGUAUCUCCUCUACUUGUACUUCAGAUUUCUCCUCAAUUGUUGGUUCUUCAGGUUUCUCCUUAACCGCUGGUACAUCAGGUUUAUCCUCAUUGACUGGUUCUUCAACUGCUGAUUCUUCUAGAUUUUCCUCAAUGUCUGGAAAGCGAGCAACAUCAUUAUUGGUAUUGCAUGGAAUUUCAUUUCCAGUUUCGUUAUUCGAGUCUACAAUUAGCAUAUUCUGCAAAAAGAAUUUAAUGUUUCAUUUAGCCUUUCAAUAAAGAAGCAUAUGCGAAUAACAGUACAUGCAUAACUAACAAAAUGGAUAAACUUUGUGAUAGUGCUUGAUCCUUACCUUUGCCAAAAGAGUUACCUUUUCAGGUUUCUCCUCUUCAACGGUUGGUUCUUCAUGUUUCUUUUCAAAUGCUAGUUCCUUGGUUGUUUCUUCCGGUGUUGGUUCCAUAGGUGUUUCUUCAGUUACUUGUUUUUCGGGUUUCUCUUCAAUUAUUGGUUCUUCGAUUGUCUUCUCAACUGAUGGUUCUUCAAGAUUUUCUCCCACUGUUGGUUUUUGGGGUUUCUCUUCUAUUGUUGGUUGUUCAGGAAUUUUCUCAACUGGUGGUUCUGCUGGAUAUUCCAAAACCAUUGAUUCUUCAGAUUUCUCUUCAAUUGAUGGUUCUUCAUGGGUUUUUUCAACUACUGGUUCUUCAAUUUUUUCCUCAACAGAUGCAUAGUCAACAAUAUCAUUAUUGGUAUUGCUUGGAAUUGCAUCGUCUGUCAUGUCCUUUGAGUUUACUUUUGGCAUAUUCUGCAAUAGAGUUUCAUGUAAUCUUUCAACAGAUAAACAGAUGUAAAUUUGUUGCACAUAUAAAGCUAAUAUGGUGGAUAAACUUUGUGACAGUGUUUAAUCCUCACCUUCUCCUGAAGAUCUUCCGCUUCAAGUUCCUCCUCUACAAUUGCAGUUUUUUCCUCUUCCCCUUCAACAACUAGUUCUUCAGGUGCCUCUUCAGCCGUUGAUUCUUCAGGUUUCUCUUCAAGUGCUAGUUCUUCAGGUGUUUCCUCCUUUGCCAGCUCUUCAGGUGUUUCUUUAGAUGCCGAUUCUUCAGGUUUCUCUUCAGCCAUCGGUUCUUGAGGUAUUUCCUCUACUUGUACUUCAUAUUUCUCCUCAAUUGUUUGUUCUUCAGGUUUCUCUUCAGGUUUCUCCUUAACCACUGGUACAUCAGGUUUCUCUUGAUUAACUGGUUCUUUGGGUUUUUCUUCAACAGCCGAAUCUUCAGGAUUUUCCUCAAUGUCUUGAAAGCAAGCAAUAUCUUUAGUGGUAUUGCAUGGAAUUUCACUGCCAGUUUUGUUGUUCGAGUCUACAAUUAGCAUAUUCUGCAAAAGGAAUUUGAUGUUUCAUUUAGCCUUUUAAUAAAGAAGCAGAUGUGAAUAACAUUACAUGCAUAACUUACAAAAUGGAUAAAUUUUGUGACAGUCCUUGACCCUUACCUUUUCAGGUUUCUCCUCUUCAACAGCUGAUUCUUCAUGUUUCUCUUCAAAUGCUAGUUCUCUGGGUGUUUCUUCCCGUAGUGCUUCUUCAUGUGCUUCUUCAGUUACUGGUUUUUCAGGUUUCUCCUCAAUUGUUGGUUCUUUGAUUGUCUCCUCAACAGAUGGUUCUUCAAGCUUCUCUCCCGUUGUUGAUUUUUCUGGUUUCUCUUCAAUUGCUGGUUGUUCAGGAAUUUUCUCAACAGCUGGUUCUUCUGGCUUCUCUAAAACCAUUGAUUCUUCAGCUUUCUCUUCAAUUGAUGGUUCUUCAUGGUUUUUUUCAACUAUUGGUUCUUCAGUUUUUUCCUCAACGGAUGCAUAGUCAACAAUAUCAUUGUUGGUAUUGCUUGGAAUUGCAUCGUCUGUCAUGUCCUUUGAGUUUACUUUUGGCAUAUUCUACAAUAAAGUUUCAUGUAGUCUUUCAAUAGAUAAACAGAUGUAAAUUUGUUGCAACAUAUAAAGCUAAUAUGGUGGAUAAACUUUGUGACAGUGUUUAAUCCUCACCUUCUCCCGAAGAUCUUCCGCUUUAAGUUCCUCCUCUUCAAUUGCUGUUUUUUCAUCUUUCGUUUCAACAACUAGUUCUUCAGGUGCCUCUUCAGCCGUUGAUUCUUCAGGUUUUUCUUCAAGUGCCAGCUCUUCAGGUGUUUCCUCCUUUGCCAUCUCUUCAGGUGUUUCCUCCUUUGCCAGCUCUUCAGGUGUUUCUUUAGCUGCUGGUUCUUCAGGUUUCUCUUCAGCCGCCAGUUCUUGAGGUAUCUCCUUUUCUACUUCAGAUUUCUCCUCAACUGUUGGUUCUUCAGGUUUCUCUUCAUUAACUGGUUCUUUGGGUUUUUCUUCAACAGCCGAAUCUUCAGGAUUUUCCUCAAUGUCUGGAAAGUGAGCAACAUCUUUAUUGGUAUUGCAUGCAAUUUCACUGUCAGUUUUGUCGUUCAAGUCUACAAUUAGCAUAUUCUGCAAAAAGAAUUUGAUGUUUCAUUUAGCCUAUUAAUAAAGAAGCAGAUGUGAAUAACAUUACAUGCAUAACUUACAAAAUGGAUAAACUUUGUGAUGGUCCUUGACCCUUACCUUUCCAGGCUUCUCCUCUUCAACGGCCAGUUCUUGUUUCUCUUCAAAUGCUAGUUCCCUGGGUGUUUCUUCCUGUAUUGGUUCUUCAUGUGCUUCUUCAGGUACUGGUUUUUCAGGUUUCUCCUCAAUUGUUGGUUCUUCGAUUGUCUCCUCAACAGAUGGUUCUUCAAGGUUCUCUCCCGUUGUUGAGUCUUCUGGUUUCUCUUCAAUUGCUGGUUGUUCAGAAAUUUUCUCAACAGCUGGUUCUUCUGGCUUCUCCAAAACCAUUGAUUCUUCAGCUUUCUCUUCAAUUAAAGGUUCUUCAUGGUUUUUUUCAACUACUGUUUCUUCAGUUUUUUCCUCAACGGAUGCAUAGUCAACAACAUCAUUGUUGGUAUUGCUUGGAAUUGCAUCGUCUGUCAUGUCCUUUGAGCUUACUUUUGGCAUAUUCUGCAAUAAAGUUUCAUGUAGUCUUUCAAUAGAUAAACAGAUGUAAAUUUGUUGCACAUAUAAAGCCAAUAUGGUGGAUACACUUUGUGACAGUGUUUAAUCCUCACCUUCUCCUGAAGAUCUUCCGCUUCAAGUUCUUCCUCUUCAAUUGCUGUUUUUUCAUCUCUCUCUUCAACAACUUGUUCUUCAGGUGCCUCUUCAGCCGUUGAUUCUUCAGGUUUCUCUUCAAGCACUAGUUCUUCAGGUGUUUCCUCCUUUGCCAGCUCUUCAGGUGUUUCUUUAGCUGCCAGUUCUUCAGGUUUCUCUUCAGCUGCCGAUUCUUGAGGUAUUUCCUUUACCUGUACUUUAGAUUUCUCCUCAAAUGUUGGUUCUUCAGGUUUCUCCUUAACCGCAGGUACAUCAGGUUUCUCUUCAGCUGCUGGUUUUUGAGGUUUCUCCUCUACUUGUACCUCGGAUUUCUCCUCAACCAUCGGUUCUUCAGGUUUCUCCUCAACCUCUG